rnacentral:lncRNA from 1 species
AUGGGGCCUUCACAAGUGACCUCUCUUGUGGUCACUAUACUAGUGGCACUAGUCUCUCUCACAUUGCCUUCAGAAACUUCAGCUAACUACCCUUACUCAUCUCCACCACCACCGGCUUCUCCUCCCUACCACUACAAGUCACCACCACCUCCUUCUCCUUCUCCUCCAGUGUACUCACCACCUAAGCAUCCCUACCACCCCAAGUCACCACCACCAUCACCAAAGCCUUACCACUACAAGUCCCCACCACCACCUCCUCCUCCAGUGCACUCACCACCCCCACCAAAGGAGCCUUACCACUACAAGUCUCCACCACCACCACCCAAGAAACCUCACCAUCACAAGUCUCCUCCACCACCACCCAGGAAGCCCUACCACCCGGUGCACUCACCCCCACCACCAAAGAAGCCUUACCAUUACAAGUCUCCUCCACCACCACCCAAGAAGCCCUACCACCCGGUGCACUCACCCCCACCACCAAAGAAGCCUUACCAUUACAAGUCUCCUCCACCACCACCCAAGAAGCCCUACCACCCGGUGCACUCCCCACCACCACCAAAGAAGCCUUACCAUUACAAGUCUCCUCCACCACCACCCAAGAAGCCCUACCACCCGGUGCACUCACCCCCACCACCAAAGAAGCCUUACCAUUACCAAUCCCCACCACCACCACCACCACACAAGAAGCCUCACCACCCAGUUCACUCACCACCUCCACCUAAGAAGCCUUACCACUACACGUCUCCCCCACCACCCCCUCCAGUCCACAAGUCUCCUCCACCACCAGUUCACUCACCACCACCACCACCUAUUAAACCUUACAAGCCACCAACACCUCCAACAGUUCACCCACCACCCGCUUACAUCUAUUCAUCACCCCCACCUCCUCACCACUACUAGAUAUUGAGAGCUUAGUUGCAUCCAGUUGGUAAGCCUCUCCAUUCUAUGUUUUUAGAUCAUAUCCAUACAACUGCAAGCAAUCGCCAAAUAAUUUGACAAAAAACAUCCCUAGCUAUAAAAUUAUAAUACACUAGUGUUUACUUCCUUUUUUGUCUAAUAAUCCAUAUUGGCAUAUGCAAGCUUAAUGCAUUUCCAGCAUAUCGUCAUUACUCAAUUAAAGUUUCUUGAUAUUUAGUAGUACUCAAGUGUAACAAAUAGACCAAUGACAGAGACCUAACAAGUAACAAUAAUAUAUAUAUAUAUAUAUAUAUAUAUAUAUAUAUAUAUAUAUCUUUGC